ensembl:lncRNA PTPN23-DT PTPN23 divergent transcript
GGUCCUGGCAUGGAGGAGGGGCGGGGCAGAACUGGGUCCGAGCGUCAGAAGGAGGAAGUGUGCUGCCUCAGUGGGAACAGCGGAUGACUCGGGGCAGAAGUCGGGAACCGGGUUCAGAUGAAGAUGCAGGUGCUAGCACGGGGCUAUCGGGGAGGAGAAGAAUGGCCUGCGGGCGCCGGGGUGUGGGACAGGCUGAGGAAAACCGGCGAAGGCCCCUCCUGGCCUCACCGGACCCUGCGACCGGGCCUGAGGAGGUGAUGGGCGCGCAGGGGGGCGUCACGCGCUUGCAGACGACGGAGAUACGCGGCGGAUAGGGGGGAAGAUGGAAGGCAAGCUCACCUUCUUCACAGCUGGCUGGAAGUGAAAGUCACCGGCCUCCUUCAGGUCCAGCCAGAUCAUGGGCAUGCGGGGCACGGCCUCCAUGGCGGCUGGCACCCGCCGGCCACCCGGCCACUCCCGUAGCUGCUGCAGCUGCUGGCUCAGCCACGAGCCCAGCCCCGCCCCUUCGUGCCGGAAGUCACUGGUCACGGGAGGGAAUGAAAAAUGCCAGCGGCCUGCCGGGAGUUGCAGUGAACCCAGCCACCCGCUCGCGUAGUCUUUUGCGCAGGCGCUGUCCCUGUUGCGCAUGCUCAGUCUUCUUCGCGCGGAGGGAGUAGGGCGGGGAGGAGCUCGCCAGCCCGAGGCGAAACGGCUUCUGGGAUAGUAGUCUUCAUCCACUAAACUGAGAGGCGCGGAGCGAGCUUAUUCCCCGCUCCCGGGCCAAGCCCAGCUGCGGGUCCCGCCCGCCGCGCUCCUCCCUCCUAGGAAGAGCAUGAGACCUCACCUAUGAACUUGCCCUCCCACGUAUUGUCAAGAGCCGUGGAGGACUGGUGCUGUGGUAGAGAUGACGUGGCGGGCGGGCCGCUGGAAAGAGAUGACGCGAAAACGGGCCUUAGAGAGGGUGCGGAGGGAGCACCUGGCCUGAAGGAGUCGGGGCUGAGAGCUGGGGGUUUCAGUCCCAGUGCUGCGAAGGCUUUCGAGCUUUGGAACAGAAUCACUGACCGGAGACUGGCCUACUCAGCCCAGCCUGGGAGGCCGGGCAGUGCCCAAGGGAGACGGACGAUAGGGAGGGAGCGCCUGGAUGGAGGGUCUCAAGCGGAGUGAGGAGGCCCCGGGCCCUGUGGGGAAGUGGGUGGGGGAAGGUAUACGGCCAGGUGAGCACCCAGGGACGCCCACAGUAUCUGGAAGGAGACCACGGAAUGGAGAGCACCUGUUGCCUCUGGAGAGGGGACCUAUAGAGCAGGAAUUGUUAAAUCAUAUGGCUGUAUCACCUACUUUUAGAAAUAAAUAAUAGGCUACUCGGGAGGCUGAGGCUGGAGGUUCAAUCGCUUGACCUGGGAGGCGGAGAUUGCGGUGAGCCUAGAUCUUGCCACUGCUCUCCAGCCUGAGCGACAGAGCGAGACUCCGUCUCAAAAUAAUAAUAGUAACAAUAGAAAUAACAGAGAAUGGCCUGGAGAUAGUGAGUGCAAAAGUGCGAGCUGGGAGAUCAGUGAGCCUUUUGUAGUCUUCCAGGAGACAGGUGAUUGUGGCUUGGAGCAGAGGGAAGUAAAAAGUGAGCAAAGAAAUAUUUUGCCCACUUUGAGAAAUAUUUGAGGAAUAUUUUGGAGACAAAAGUAUCAGAACUUGGAAUGGAUGGAUGUAAGGGCAUGAGGACGUCGAAUAUGAUUUCCAAGCUUCUGGCUUGUGCAGGUGGGUGGCUGUGGGGCUGUUUACUGAUAAGGGAAAACAAGGGAAGAGCAAAGGUUCAGGUCCGUGUUAAGCUCGAGGUCAAGGCCUUUGACUCGUUCUGGAUGAAAUGUGGAGACCACGAUGCCGGGUGCGGUGGUUCACGCUUGUAAUCCCAUCACUUUGGGAGGCCGAGGCGGGCGGAUCGCUUAAGCCCGGGAGUUCAAGACCAGCCUAGCCCACAUGGCCAAACCCCGUCCCUACAAAAAAUAUAAAAAUUAGCAGGACAUGGUGGCUCAUGUACGCCUGUAGUCCCAGCUACUCAGGAGGCUGAGGCGGGAGGAACCUUGAGCCCGGGAGGCAGAGGUUGCAGUGAGCCGUGAUUGUGCCAUUGUACUCCAGCCUGGGCGACAAAAGUGAAACCAUGUGUUAAAAAAAAAAAAAAGAAAAGAAAAAGAAAAAUUAUGGAGACCGUGGGAUGUGGGUGGGAUCUGGGAUUCUAAGACAGGCUUCACCCACAAGGUAGAGCCCAGGUCCCUUUGUUGUGAGACCUCAAACCCUUUCAAGACUUAGUCAAGGGCCUAGCUUCAUUCCAGUUGGAGUUAGAGCAGAAGAAAAUGAAAUUACAUGAAUGUUCAUAGCAGUACCAUUUCACAGUAGCCAAAAGAGAAGCAAUCCAUGCAGUGAUGGAUGGAUGCAUGAAUAAAGAUGAUGUGUGUACAUACAA